GACGAACGCUGGCGGCGUGCUUAACACAUGCAAGUCGAACGGUGAAGCGCCUUCCUUUUUGGUGGGUGUGGAUGAGUGGCGAACGGGUGAGUAACACGUGAGUAACCUGCCCCCUUCUUCUGGAUAACCGCAUGAAAGUGUGGCUAAUACGGGAUAUUCUGGGUCUGUCGCAUGAUGGGUCUGGGAAAGAUGUUGUUUCGGUGGGGGAUGGGCUCGCGGCCUAUCAGCUUGUUGGUGGGGUGAUGGCCUACCAAGGCGGUGACGGGUAGCCGGCCUGGGAGGGUGGACGGUCACACUGGGACUGAGACACGGCCCAGACUCCUACGGGAGGCAGCAGUGGGGAAUAUGGCACAAUGGGCGCAAGCCUGAUGCAGCGACGCCGCGUGAGGGAUGGAGGCCUGCGGGUUGUGAACCUCUUUCGCCAGUGAAGCAGGCCUGCCUCGUUUGUGGGUGGGUUGACGGUAGCUGGAUAAGAAGCGCCGGCUAACUACGUG
rnacentral:rRNA from 1 species